UGAGUAUCAAUUGGCACGUUCUUCUUUUUUCUAUUUUUUAAUUGUGUACACCAUACUUGCAUUCUUUUUUGUGUACAUAUUUCUUGUAGUUGUGGAAAGAGGGGGUGGGGGGGUAUUAGGUCGUGUAAGGCUAUAUUCUAUUUUGCAAAGAGGCAAGAAGAGGU
rnacentral:ribozyme from 1 species